AUUGAACGCUGGCGGCAUGCCUUACACAUGCAAGUCGAACGGUAACAGGUCUUCGGAUGCUGACGAGUGGCGAACGGGUGAGUAAUGCAUCGGAACGUGCCCAGUAGUGGGGGAUAGCCCGGCGAAAGCCGGAUUAAUACCGCAUACGACCUGAGGGUGAAAGGGGGGGAUCGCAAGACCUCUCGCUGUUGGAGCGGCCGAUGUCAGAUUAGCUAGUUGGUGGGGUAAAGGCCUACCAAGGCAACGAUCUGUAGUUGGUCUGAGAGGACGACCAGCCACACUGGGACUGAGACACGGCCCAGACUCCUACGGGAGGCAGCAGUGGGGAAUUUUGGACAAUGGGGGCAACCCUGAUCCAGCAAUGCCGCGUGCAGGAAGAAGGCCUUCGGGUUGUAAACUGCUUUUGUUAGGUAAGAAAUCCUGUGGGUUAAUACCUCGUGGGGAUGACGGUACCUGAAGAAUAAGCACCGGCUAACUACGUGCCAGCCGCCGCCGUAAAAC
rnacentral:rRNA from 1 species